rnacentral:rRNA from 1 species
GACAUAGGUGGCGAACGUUAUCCGGAAUUAUUGGGCGUAAAGAGCUCGUAGGCGGUCUGUCGCGUCGGCUGUGAAAUCCCGGAGCUCAACUCCGGGUCUGCAGUCGAUACGGGCAAACUGGAGUACUGCAGGGGAGACUGGAAUUCCUGGUGUAGCGGUGAAAUGCGCAGAUAUCAGGAGGAACACCGGUGGCGAAGGCGGGUCUCUGGGCAGUAACUGACGCUGAGGAGCGAAAGCGUGGGGAGCGAACAGG